AAUGGGCGCGGGGUUCCCGGUCUCCAGGAUACAGGUGUAAACAGUGGCAUCUUCGCGGGCUUCUUAGCCUGACCCGGCCGGGCCAAGGAGUAACGGCCGCAGCCCCGGGUGCGCUGGGAGUCGGCAUGUCGCAAGACCCGGAGCGCGACGACGUCACUGCCUCUGCCACUGCCUCUGCCUCAGCCUCAGCCCCUGCCUCUGCCUCUGCCCACUACUCCGGAUCCUCCCUGUCGGUGAGAUGGGUGCAAGGAUUCCCUAGUCAGAACGUCCACUUUGUCAAUGACCAGACCAUCUGCUACCCUUCUGGGAACUUUGUAAUAUUCAUUAACCUGGAAACCAAGAAGAAGACUGUACUCCAGUGUAUUAAUGGGAUUGUGGGCGUCAUGGCAACUAAUGUGCCCAGUGAAGUCGUGGCUUUCUCUGACCGAAGAUUUAAACCUGUUAUCUACAUAUACAGCUUCCCAUCGCUGACCAGAAAAAACAAGUUAAAAGGUGACAUCCUCCUGGACUACACUCUACUUUGCUUCAGUUACUGUGGCACCUACCUGGCCAGUUACUCGUCUCUCCCAGAGUUUGAGCUGGCCCUCUGGAACUGGGAAGCCAGUGCCAUCUUGUGCAAGAAAUCAAAUCCCGGCAUGGAUGUGAGCCAGAUGUCCUUCAACCCCAUGAACUGGCACCAAAUGUGUUUAUCAAGUUCAAGUGCGAUGAGCGUGUGGACCAUUGAGAGAAGUAACCAGGAGCACCAUUUCAGGAUAAGGUCUGUCAAGCUACCCCUAGAAGACGCGACCUUCCUAAACGAGCCCGACAUGCUUUUCCCCACCACUCUGCCAAAGGAUCUCAUUUAUGGACCCGUAUUGCCACUGUCGGCCAUUGCCGGGCUGGUAGGCGAAGAGGCAGAGACUUUCAGGCCGAAAGAUGACAUAUAUCCUCUGCUUCACCCAACUAUGCACUGCUGGACUCCGUCAAGCGACCUGUACGUUGGGUGUGAAGAGGGUCAUCUUCUGAUGAUUAACACAGAAACCCUGAAGGUGACCGUGCUCCAGAAGGCGGAGGAGUUUCCACUUCCGGAUGGAGCCCCGCUCAUCAACCCACUCACGCUGGUGUACCAAAAGGACGGCAUACUCGCUUCUGGAAUUGAUGGUGUGAUAUACUCCUUCAUCAUCAAGGAUUCAAAGUACCAAGUGAAGACCUUUCUCGAGUUUGAUGGGCCGGUGACACAUCUGGUGUUCUCCCCCAGUUACAAAAUGUUACUGAUUCAAACAGACAAGGGGUCUGUUUAUAUCUAUACGUUUGGUGCAGAGAUGCCUCUUGAUAAACUCCUCGAUGCCUGCGAUGGGAAAGUGCAGGCUGUCAGCUUUAUCACACCUGGAACCAAAUACUUCCUGACACUCACUAGUUCUGGGGAAGUUUCCACUGUAUCACUAGAAGACUGCAAUUGUACAAGCAGGAUUUUCCUGAAGACUCAAGCAACAGCUCUGGCGUGCUCCCCUUCCUCGCCGACAGCUGCCGUGGGGACGGUGGAUGGCUAUGUCUACUUUCUGAACAUCCUUGAUGUGGAGUCCCCUCAGAUGAUCCACCAGGCCUUCCUCUCCCAGUCACCAGUGAAGAUAGUGACGUAUGACCAGCGAGGAAUCUUUCUGUUAGUUGGUACAGAGGAAGGAAACAUCUUUGUCAUCGAUGCCAGACCCUCAAAGUCAUUUCAAAUUUUUGGAUUCACUGAGACGGGCAAGGACAUCCUGCAGAUAUCCACGGUGUCUGUCAUGGAGUCAGAUGUGGUCGAAGUGCUGGUGUUGUACCCGCUUCCAGAUAUGGGCAGAAGCAGGCUGGAAUACUUCACCCUGCCAGUCAUGUUACCAGAAGUGGUUCCUGAAAACUUUUCUGAUGAACGAGGAAGGCUGAAAGACGAUUUAACCCACAAGUACCUGUACGAGGUGGAGCACACUCUGUCCUCUGCAGUGCUGGGCUUCACAGGCAGCAAAAUCUUUGGCUUCUGCAGCCAGGUGCCCUACAUCUGCAGCUAUGUAAUGCCCGUAAAGGAACACACUGGUGUCCUUGUUCUUAAGCCUCACCAAAAAGUACAGAGCAAACAGUACGGAUCUGGAACAAUCUAUCUGUCUUCUCACGGAUUAUGGCUUAUGACAAUAGCUAAAUGUGGAAUUCUCUGUAUCCGAGAUAUGUUCAGUAUGGAAACCUUUGUUCGAUGUCGGAGUCAUUCUCACCAGGGGCGAGGGAUCCAGAACAUGAAAAUGUCAUUGGACGGACAGCACAUCCUGGUGAAUGGAAAAGAUGACAACACCCUUGUCUGCCUCAAAUGGAAGCGGCUUGGAGCAAACAUAGCAAGUGAGAUCUUUGAACACAGCCGUCCGCUAGUGCUCCAUCUGUCCCAGACAGUGGAAUCGGAGAGUGUAUACUUAGCUUUAUCGAGAGAGUCCACGAAUGAGCAGCAAGAAGAGACAACUGAAUCCCAAAAACACCUGAACUCAGACUCAUCAGAAGAGGAAGCAGUCAUCGAUCACAAGAUGAUUCCCUGGAUCCAACAAAAAAUGGAAGAGGCCAUCAAAAAGGAGGUGAGGAUUUUUUCCCCUAGAAGAAAGGAGAUCAAAAGAGGAAUUAAGGAGCUCGCUCAGGUUAUUGCAAUGAUGAUGGAAGAGAAUGAAAAGGUGGACAUCAUUGCAAAACUAGAUGAACAGGAGUUUUGCCUGGACGCCGAUGAGCUGGAAAGGCUUCAUGAUGAAUGUGAGGAGGAAGUAGCGAAGAUAAGGAAAGAUGUGGAGAUGCACAACUUGGCCCAGAGCUACUUAACUGAGCUCAUCAAGGAGGAGUGCUGGAACUCCAUGGCUGUGAAGGGCCGGGCUCUAAAGUGUUUUCAUAUACCCUAUGUGGUUGACAACUUUCCCAUGAAAGAGCGCACGGAAGAGGAGCUACAGGAGUUGAGUAAAGUUAUGCAGCAAAAGAAGACUGAGAUUGAGUGUCUUAAGCUCCGGAAAGAGAUUGUGGAGGUCCAGGCGACAACCACUAUAGCUAAGAAACACCACGAGGAGGAGGAGGAGGAGGAAGAGGAUGAAGAAAGGACAAUAAAAACUACCAGUCUGCCCAAUUACCUGCUUGGUAGUUUGAGCACUGAUUUUGGGGCGGACACAUCUUUGUUGACAAGCCAACUGGACCUUCAUUCCAGAGAGGAGAAAAUCAACCAAAUUAUAUUGCUAAAGGAUAUCAUUUACAAUAUAAAAAGGAAUUUCAAUAGUGAAUUUGAUGCUGCCUAUAAGCAAAAAGAGAUUGAAAUUGCACGUGUAAAAGAAAAGAAUGUUAGAAUUGCAGAAAUUAUUUCAGACUUGGAAUUGGAAGAAACAGUGUGGCAGCCAGUGUUUGAAGACAGUGAGAAACCAGAAAGAGCCCUUGUCGUGGAAGAUGAUGAGAUCUCAUUUAAAAAAUACAUUGCUCCAUGGCAAAGAGCCAAAAUAAAAGAAGUGGUCUCAACCUAUGAAAUGGAACGGUUGCAGCAAGCACGGAUCUCUGAUGAACGGCAGAGAGGCCUGAUGGAUAUGAUGGGAGGUGUUCUGGAAGUCAAGAAGGAAGACAUCUUAAGGAUGGUGAUCCCUCAACCACCUUUCAUGGCGAAAGCUGAUGCUCUGUGGAGUGAAGAUGAAAGGAAGCAAUUCAAAGAGUACGAGAAAAAAGUCAAGGAGCUGAAUGAAGAGAGAGACAAGUACAGAAAGUCUUUAGAAGCGGAGCUGAAGAAACUUCAAAAUUCUAUUCAAGAGAGCACGCAGAACUUUGACGACCAUCUGAAGAGACUCUUUGAAAGGAGAGUGAAGGCAGAAAUGGUCAUCAACCAGGAGGAACUGAAAAUAAACAACAUUAUAUUUUCGUUGCUGCUGGAUGAAGAACUCAGCUCCAGGGAACAGUUCCUGAACAACUACCUUUUGAAGAAACAGGAGGAGAAAACCAAGACUGCAGAAGCCAUCCAGAAGGCGAGAGAAGAUCUGGACGUAUUCAAGGAGCACCAUGACAUGUUAGUGGCAGAGGACAAAAUUCUGGAUCGAAGCUUCAAAAAGGAAUUUUCUGACAUUUUGGGUCACCAGGUGGAUGUCCUCUACAAACUUUUUAAACGCCGGCCAAGGGUUCACAAACAGAAAACACAGGCAGAUGUGACCAGUCUUGUUCCUUAUGGAGAGCGACCAGGAUCUGCCAAGUUAAAUAAGGAAAACUUAGCCCAGCUAAUGAAAUCCAUGGAUGAGUUGGACAAUAUCAAUAACAUGCCAGAAGGCUUGGACCCCUCUGUCUGGGAACAUUUCUGCUCAACUAGACGGGCAAAAGUGGAAAAUGAAUACAAAGUGAAGCAGAAGGCAGCCUGCCUCCUGGAAAUGACGACUUUUCUCCGGAAGCGGAUGGAAGAGGAUGACGUAGUGCAUCAUGAGAUCGAAAAAGUGUUCCAUGAGCUCAUCCGACUCAAGGACAAAAGAAAGUUGCUAGCAUGAUGGAAAGUAAAGAGGUCCACAAAGGAAUCUAUCAGAUUGAGUGGGAGCACAAGAAGAUGGAGAUGGAGAUGGAGGACCUAAACCAGAGGGCCUGGGACAUCGAGAUGCUCUUCUUCUCACGAGACCGGCAGAAGUACCUAAACGAACCAAACUACGAGAAUGUGAUUGCCAUUCAGAUUGGAAUAAUGGAGCAAACGAUUAGUGUUAUAGAUAAGACUCAUAAGAAGAAUGUAGAAAACUGCAAAAAGCUACUCAAGAAACUGGGAAAAUACAGCAAUCAGAAAGAUGUUGCAAAUUACACCCUAAGCUGUAAUCUACGGGAAGAACUGGUGGCCGUCUCAGAGAGACAAGACAUUUGCAAUGAGAUAGGGUCUAAGCUGACCUGUGAGAAGAUUGCUAGAGAACGCUACGACAACCAGCUGAAGCAGCAGAAGCUGUUGAACAUCUCCAAGCAGCAAGCUGAGCAGAUCUCAAUCCUGCAGGCUGAAGUUGAAAGACUCAGGAUGAAGACAUUCCCUGCUCUCAUCCCAAUGUAGAGCAGAAAGCACACAAUGCCCAACUAAUGUCCCUUGAAUAGAAUCACUUGGACAGAAACUUCUCUCUCUCCUGAUCAGGAAAUUUAAGUAGGUCACCUCUUAGCUGCACGUUUUUAAUAGUACAGUUACCUGUCCUCCAGGAAUAAAUGAGUAAAAUAUCAUAAAGUGUCGCUUGUAUUUAUUAAAGAACAGUGGUUUUCAGCCAAGAAACACUGGAUUGUAAAUUAUAUUUUGCAAACAGUCUUCCUUCCUUCCCUACUGUAACAGAACUGUUUUGUUUUGUUUUUUUAACCCUCAAAGGGUCCAGUAAACAAGUGCUCAUUCCCUUGAAACCUUUAUUCUACUUGUGUAGAACAUUCUAAUUCUGUAAGACAACUCCCUGGCAAACAUAAUCCCACCCACCCUCCCAGAGCUGUGGUUUGCUGAUUCCAAGAGGCAUCUUCAAGAUCACUUAUCAUUGUCUCCACGUGAUAGCAAUGUCCCAAUUUUCUGCAACUUAUAAUCUAAAUUUAGGUUUAAUGUACAUCACCAUAUAUAAUAUAUACUUGAAUGGGUAAAAGUAAUCAAAACAAAUCUUUCACUUGGAAGCAUACUCCUGCAAUUUCACAAUCAUUAGAACUGGCUGCCAUUCUGGGUUACAUGAGACUACCUCAAAAAAAUAAAAAUUUCCACUUAAGUUUGUUUCGCCUAUUCUGGUGUAUUAGUUUUUAUCUUAUUUUACUUUACUCUUAUCCCUAGAAGCCUGUUUUAGUUUUUUAAUGAGACAGAAAGAGGGUGGAUCUGGAUGAGAGGGGAAGGAAGAACUAGGAGUAGAGGGAAGGGAAACUAAUCAGAAUGUAAGAGAAAAAAAAAGCUAUUUCCAAUACAAGGAAAAAAUGAAUACUUCAACUAUCACAGAUGUAAAAAUAGUAGGAAAAAAUUCCAUUUAGAAGAAACUGACUUUCCAUUAAUGCUCAGCACUUCGUGUGUCAACAGCAGGACCAACAUCUCUUUGCCAACUCUUCCUUCUUCACAACUAGAAGGAUUCUAAGGUAGGUAGUUUAGAUGACUUAGCAGAGAAGCCAUUGGUAACACUUCUUGUAUGAUUUCUAACACUUUCUUGUAUGAUGUGACUUUUGAGAAGCAGAGAGAUGGGGUCAAGAGGUAAGGUACAGGCACUUUAUACUUAGCAUGGGGUUGCCAGGUCUGUGACAACUGCAGAGUCAACCAUGGAUAUACUAGAUUUGGUUUUGCUAGUAUUAGGUCAUUUAAACGAGUUGCCUGAAUGAAAAAGACAAUGUCCUAAAUUUAACAGACUAAUUCUGGUCUUAAUGGACAAUCAUCCUGUGCUAUUUAUGGCUUAUCACUAACCUUAAGAGUGCUCCUUCCUCAGCUGCCUCAGCUUUGACGCAUGGAUAAGCUGAGCUUGGAGGAUAACUUUCCAAAAACCCCUUCCAGUUUAGUGGUCUGACAGAUGCUUUGCAAGGGCUCUAACCCACCCAUCGACACUGUUCAUGAUACCAACACCUCUUAGCUUCUGCUCAACAGCAGUUAUGUUCAUAAGUUUUUAUAGUUCAUUACUAACUAGUGAUAUAGUCAAUUAGGUCAAGCAUAACAUGGCCUUAUGUAGAGGAAGGACAGAUUCACAAAUACAGAUGGCAAGAGGGAAUUUAUACAUGUAUAUGGUAGGUGGGUGUGUACGGGUUUGAAUCCCUGUUUUAUCAAACAGCAAGGGUUUUCAGAUCAGAAGGGAAGGAGUGUGCUCAAAUAAAAACGAACUUCUGGGGAGAGGCUCUAGAAUACUGGCCAUUUAGAAACGAAUACUUUUGCUAGAUCCCAAGGCAGAAAUCAUGAAGGCUUCAGGAAUGAUUAGCAGAUAGAAGAAGGAGGCCACAAGGCUCUCCCUGCUAUUCUUAAAAAUGUUAGCCCUGUGUCUUCCAAGUUCAUACAGUAGCUACAGCAACAGCAACACUCUUUCCCCAUGGGCUCAUUCUAAAUUCUCAGCUACUGGGCCAGCUUAAGCCACAUUUUUACAUAUGGCUCUGAACUCAACAGACCGUUCCAAUUUACAUCACAGAUAAAGCUACAAAGGGAAUUAUGAAGACCGUUCAUGCCAAGAACACCUUCAUGUAGGAAAUAAGGAUAUGAAGCAUCCCAAGAAACAGAUGUUCAUUUUAGUACAUGAGGAAAAUGAAAACAAAUUGGAGAAAACUGUAGACAUUUAAGUUUAAUUAGUUGCUAGAUUAGCAAACAGAUAUGUUAAGCAGAUGAGCAUAGGUCCAUAAACUUAGGAAGGGCAGGCUACAUUUAUGCCACUUGAGAUUUAGACAUUCAACAUACUACUUUCUAAUACUGAAUAUAAACUUUUUGCCCCCCAAAUCAAUGAAUUAACCCUGGUUUCUAGAACUAUCCAAACUUCCUUUUAAACACAAUUUUAAUUUUUUUAUACUUAAAUAUUUUCUUUAGCAAACAUAU